CUAAGACUAAGAAGUUCCUGUCAAUGGAUAUCUGCAUUAAGAGGCAUUACUUAGUCUAGGACUAGGCUUAAUCCAUGUCUAUGAAACUGUUCUUAGUGUAGUAAUUGUUCAGUUGUUUUCCUUGCUGUUUCUGUAAACUCUUAUGUUGGACACAUUAGAUUACAUUUAAACAAGGGCAUAUAUACCCUUAAUAGAAAAGUUUAAACCUGUAUUGCUGUAAUGGAUUUAGUGGCUGUUGUGCCAGUCACUUCUGUUUGCUGGUCGUGAGACAUGUUGAGUGAUUUUAUAGUCUAUUCAUUUUCUUUUUAUAUCCCCAUGUAGGUUGUACUGAAGCCGGUAACAAUCACACAACAUCACUGUUCAUGUGUUGCUGGCACCUCAUUAUGCAACCACACAGUUGUGUUACUAUUCCAGUCUGCACACUAUUCCCAGAUGGGAACACCAGUCUUCCCACCUGUGCACAGCUGCACAGAGGCCGAGCAGCAGUGGCAUAAGCCAAGGACAAUGGGUCUGCAACCUGGGCCCAUAGGCAUAAUGACCAUCACCUAGCCCACCAAAAAGCGCACGGCAGAAUGAGGGAUUAGGUGGCUUCAAGUACAUUGUUGAGAUUGGCUAACCACAGCGGCUGCUUUGCUUUGUAGAAGUACUCUACAGCGCCCUUCUUGGACCACUCCCCGACCUCUCAGUCCUCCAGAUAGAAUAGGCAUACAAUAACUUUGACCCUCUAUCCAAGCCAUUGAUCUGCAGCAUGGGGAUGUCUGCUGAAAAGCUUUUAGUCGGCUCCCACUUUGGAAAGGUACAGGUGGGGAGCCUCCUGUCUAACCAGCAGCCUCCAAUCACAACGUGACACAUAGUUCACCAUAAGGAGACACCACCAUUCCCUUCACUGCCCCUGGAUGGCUACAGACUAGAGAGCGACUGUCAAGGCUGCACAUGUGUGCUCAGUGAAGACGACCAGCUUCACAUGAGGGAAUACAUAAAGACCCAGUGGUGUUCUCACUAAUUAGAGAGAAGGGUGACUGGUACUACUUGUGUACAUGCAAAAGUUCUUAGGAAGGAAAGACUAAAUAAUAAGGGAAGGGCUCCUUUAUCUUUCAAUUAAUGAAAGAGAAACAAAACAAAUCUGUCUGCAA